CAAAACUACACAUCAAAAUCAGUGGUGGGAGCUGUUUGACUCGAAAACUGGCCGUUAUUACUACUAUAAUGCUUCAUCAAGUGUCACAAAAUGGCAAAAACCAACAGGAAUCGAUAUCGAUAUAAUUCCACUCGCGAAAUUGCAGACUUUGAAGGAAAAUACCGAAGGAGGAGCUGUUUCGAAGGUAGAAAUUGCCGCGGAAUAUCGAGAAGAAAAUCGGGGAAAAAUCGAUUUUAAAAGUGGAAAUAUCGAAAAAAUAAUGCAAAUUGCCGGCGGAAAAUCGAUUAAAAUCGAGAAAUUUACUCGAUUUUUCACAUUUUUAAGUCAAGAAAUUGUGAAAAAAUCAAUAAAUUAAAAAAAAAGAAAAUUUAUUGAAAAUCGGAUCAUUUCUGCAAAAUGUAGCAUUUCUACAGAAAAUAUAUUCAAUUUUUCAGAAAUUGUGUAUAAUUUUUGCUUUAGAAAAUCGCAUUUUGAUAUUUAUGGAUUUUUAUGAAAUAUUAAGCGAAUUUAGCGUUUUGGCAUUUUCGAUGGUAAAAAUUGCCGGAAAAUCGAUUUUAAAAGUGGAAAAAUCGAAAAAAUAAUGCUAAAUUGCCGGAAAAAUCGAAGAAAACUAGAAGAAAAUUCUGAAAAUUUCUACAAAAAAUCGCGAAAAAUCUCUCUAAAAAUCUCAGCAGUUUUAUUACAAAAUUUUAUGGAAUUUUUUGAAAUAUACAGAAUUUUUGUCUUUUUUGCGGAUUUUAUGAAGAAUCUAUUUUUUUUGGAAAUUUUUUUAAACUGCAGUAAAUAUUUAAAAAUCUCAUUUUGAACUUUUUGAAAAAAAAUAAAAAAAAAUUUUUUUCGCAGAAAUUUUCGAUUUUUUAUUAAAAUAUUUGGAAUUUAAUAAUAAAACCGCAGUUGAAAAAAAUUCCAGAGAAAAAUAAUCGAUUUUUCAUAAAAUCACCCUCAAAACGAGAUAUUUUUGUAGAAAUUAUGCAGAAUUUCCAUAAAAUUAAUGGAAUUUCAAUUAAAUUCCAAAAAAAAAAUAGAUUCUUCAUAAAAUCCGCAAAAUUUACUAAUUAAUCUGCUCAAAACGGGAUACUCAUAAAAUUCUCAAAAAAAGACAAAAAUUCUUUAAAUUUCAAAAAAUUCCAUAAAAUUUUGGAAUAAAACUGCUGAGAUUUGACGAGAUUUUUCGCGAUUUUUUGUAGAAAUUUUCAGAAUUUUCUUCUAGUUUUAUCGAUUUUUCCGGCAAUUUAGCAUUAUUUUUCGAUUUUUCCACUUUUAAAAUCGAUUUUUCCCGAUUUUCUUCGACUUUCCGGCAAUUUUUACCAUCGAAAAUGCCAAAACGCUAAAUUCGCUUAAUAUUUCAUAAAAAAUCCAUAAAUAUCAAAAUGCGAUUUUCUAAAGCAAAAAUUAUACACAAUUUCUGAAAAAUUGAAUAUAUUUUCUGUAGAAAUGCUACAGUUUGUAGAUCCGAUUUUCAGUAAAUUUUCUUUUUUUUUUAAAUUCAUUGAUUUUUUCACAAUUUCUUGACUUAAAAAUGUGAAAAAUCGAGUAAAUUUCAGAUUUUAAUCGAUUUUUCCCGAUUUUCCGGUAAUUUUUUUCGAAAAAUUUAGCAUUAUUUUUUUUCAAUUAAAUUCCUUAAAAAAAAUAGAUUUUUCGCAGAAAUUUUCAAUUUUUUAUUAAAGUUUUUGGAAUUUCGUAUUUAAACUAUUCAAAAUUACAGUUUUUUAAAAAGAAAUUUUCAAAAAUAAUCGAUUUUCCUUCAAAUAUUUGUGUUUUUUUUUCAAAAUUUUGCAUUGUCUUGCCCAAAAAAAAAUGAUGAAAAAUUCAAUUUUUUUAAAGGAAUUUUUCAAAAAUCAAAAUUUCCAGAUCCGCCGAACAUGUGAAACUCAAACAUCUCCAUCAGUCCGUCGUGUGAUGAAUAAAGUGAUGAUGACUGGUCCUGUAUUUGCACAGAAUAUAUCACCUGAAACUGGUGUUGUAACGUUUCGAAGUAAUAGUCAAAACUCGCAAAACACGUUGAAUGGGCUUCAGAGCUCUUUUGAGGUGAACAUUUUUGGAAACUGAAUAUGAAAUUAUUUAAAAAUACCAACAAAAAACUAUUGCACUGCAACUUUUUCCUCAGGAGGGACGAGGAAAAGUGGUUUCUAGGCCAUGGCCGAGGGGCCGACAAGUUUCAGCGGCCAUUUAUACUGCUUUGUUUUCCGCCUGUUUUCUUUUGUUUUUCACAGCUUUUUCCCGUUUUUUCUUAAUAAAACUGAUGAAUAAAUACUUUUUGCAGAUGCUAAAACAAUUUCCAAGUAAAAAAAUUAUGUAUUCAGUGGGCAAGCAGCGGUGAAAGUGGUCAAUGCAAUAUGAUGGAUUACGGGAAUAAAAAACCUAAACUUUUUCUGAAACAUGAUACAUAUGAUGCUUAGAUGCUGCAAUUACCUGAUUUUCAUAACGAGACCGCUGAAAAAUUUUGAGGUUUUCAAAAUUCAACUUUUUGUGCGAAAAUCUGGACUUUUUCACCAAAAAAGUUGAAUUUUGGAAACCCUAAAACUUUUUCAGCGGUCUCGUUAUGAAAAUCAGGUAGUCUCAGCAUUUAAGCAGCAUAUGUAUCAUGUUUCAGAAAAAGUUUAGGUUUUGUAUUCCCGUAAUCCAUCAUUUUACAUUGACCACUUUCACCGCUGCUUGCCCACUGAAUACAUGAUUUUUUUACUUGGAAAUUGUUUUAGCAUCUGCAAAAAAUAUUUAUUUAUCAGUUUUAUUAAGAAAAAACGGGAAAAGGCUGUGAAAAACGAAAGAAAACAGGCGGAAAACAAAGCAAGAUAAAUGGCCGCUGAAACUUGUCGGCCCCUCGGCCAUGGCCUAGAUGCAACUUUUUCCUCGUCCCUCAUGAGGAAAAAUUUGCGAAUAUCUGGGAAAAGCACACAAAAAAUUAAAAAAUUUUCAUAGAAAAUGACUUUUUCUUUCGAAAAAAAAAACAUUUAAAAUUGGUAAAAGUAGUUUUUUUUUUUCAAUUUUUUCACUGAAAAAAACCAAAAAAAAUUGCCAUUGUUGGAAACUAUAGAAAUAAAUGUUUAAAAAAUUUAUUUAAUCCAUGAUUUUUUGUAUUUUUCAAAAUUCAAUGUAGAAUUCUGAAAACUCGGAAAAAAUCAAAAAAAAUAAAUUUUGAUUUUUUUUUAAUGGAAUAAUUGGAUUUAAUUGAAGUUUUUCACAAAAAAAUUUCGUGAAAAACAUUAAUUUUUGAACAAAGUUGCAAAAAUUGUCAAAAACUUUGAAAAAAAUCUUUUUUUUUUUUUUGAAAAAAUCUAUAAAAAUUUAGAAAAAAAACAUAAUUUCAAUUUUUUCCCCUUGAAUUGAGAACAGUUUGGAAAAAAAAAUCGAAAUUAUAUAAUUUUUGGAACUAAUAUUCACAUUUUCGCUAAUUUUUAUAUUAAGAGAAAACUUCAGUUUUGAAGAAAAAAAAAUUGCUUUGCCAUGCCCAAAAUUUGCUCAAAUGAGCGAAUUUUGUAAUGAAACUUCUCAAAAAUUAUUCAAAAUUUUUUAUGGUGGUUCAAAAUUUCGAAAAAAUCACACUGAUCUUAGCUAAAAUCCCGAAUUUUGGCCACUUUUCCGUGUCGCAGCCCUUUGGAAGUUGACUUUUUUGAAAUUAUCAUUCUUAAUUGCAUAGUUUGGCAGGCAGUUUAUCCCAUUUAAUUUCGUAAAUAAAGGUAAAUUUAAAGCCGAAUUGGUAACCAAAAAUCAUCGAAAUUGGUUACCUAUCGGCUUUAAAUGUACCUUAAUCAACGAAAUUAAAUGAGAUAAACUACCAAAAUAUGCAAUAAAGGAUGAUAAUUCCAAAAAAAAAAGCCAACUUCGGGCAGAUGCGACACGGAAAAGUGGCCAAAAAUCGAGAUUUCAGUUAAAAUCAGUGUAGUUUUGGUGAAAUUUUAAUUUUUUCUUUUCACCAUAAAAAAUUUUUGAGCAGUUUCAUAACGAAAAUCGUUCAUUCGAGCCUAUUUUUUUGGUCUAUAUGUUUAAAAUCGUAAGUCUUCCUUUAAAGAGCUAUAAAAGGAUCUCAUUCGACAAAUGUGUGUUACUUUUAAAAUGCUGAUGAUGUAUAAGGUUUAAUAUAUUUUAAACAAAAAAAGUUAUGCGAAAUUUGGAAUUUUUCAAAAAUUGAAUAAUAUCGUCUAAAUGUCCCUUUUUUUCCUUUUUUUUUGGAUGAAAAAAUUCGCAAAAAAUUUUCCCGUGGUGGAGAGUUGAACUCAUGUUGCAAAAUCUUCGUUUUUGGUCAUUUUUAGAGCCAUCUGAAAAUGCGCUCAUUAUCGACACAAUCCAAUGUUUUAGUUUUAAAUUAAAAAAAAAAAUUGACUCCUAACUUUUUGAACUGUUAUAGUUGUAUUCAAGAUCUUGUCAUGGUGCAUCGAACCUUUUUUUGGGAUGAAAAAAUUCGCAAAAAAUUUUCCCGUGGUGGAGAGUUGAACGACAUUUUCCCAUUUUCCGUGUCACAUCUGUCCGAAGUUGGCUUUUUUGGAAUUAUCGUCCUUUAUUGCAUAUAUUGGUAGAUUAUCUCAUUUAAUUUCGUCGAUUAAGGUACAUUUAAAGCCGAUAGGUAACCAAUUUUGAUGAUUUUUGGUUACCUAUCGGCUUUAAAUGUACCUUAAUCGACGAAAUUGAAUGAGAUAAACUACCGAUAUAUGUAAUAAAAGACGAUAAUUCCAAAAAAGUCAACAUCGCACAGAUGCAACACAGAAAAGUGGCCAAAAUUUGAGAUUUUAACUAAAAAAUCAGUGUAACUUUUUGCGAAAUUUUGAACCGCUAUAAAAAUUUUUUGAAAAUUUUUUGAGUAGUUUCACUACGAAAUUCGUUCAUUUGAGCACACAUUUUGCGUUUAUAAGUUCGAAUAUUUUGAAAAAAAAAUCUCUAAAAUUCAUCAUUUUUCAGAUGCGAAAGCGAGGAUCCACGUGUCAUUUUCGAGAAUACGCGGCGAGAAAUGAGCUUCCUCAAAGUGCUCAUUAUCAACUACGAUACCACUUUUAUUCAGAAUGUAUCCUAAAUUGUUUAUCGGGUUUUGGAGAAUUUUGGUGCUGAAAAUUGGCAUUUUCAAGUUUUUGAAUUCAGAAAAUUCUUGAAAAAGCGUGAAAAUAACGCAAUUUGAAACUGCAAAAAAUUGUUUCGAAUCGGCUGAAAAUUCGAAUUUUGGACUUAAAAAAUUUGAAUUUUGGACUAAAAAAAUUCGAAUUGUGGACUAAAAAAUUCGAAUUUUGGACUGAAAAAUUCGAAUUUUGGACUGAAAAAACUCGAAUUUUGGACUGAAAAUAUUCGAAUUUUGGACUUAAAAAUUCGAAUUUUGGACUAAAAAUAUUCGAAUUUUGGACUAAAAAAUUUGAAUUUUGGACUUAAAAAAUUUGAAUUUUGGACUAAAAAAAUUCGAAUUGUGGACUAAAAAAUUCGAAUUUUGGACUGAAAGUUCGAAUUUUGGACUGAAAAAUUCAAAUUUUGGACUAAAAAAUUCGAAUUUUGGACUAAAAAUUCGAAUUUUGAACUGAAAAAAUUCGAAUUUUGGACUAAAAAAAUUCGAAUUUUGGACUAAAAGUUCAGCAUUUUUGGUAUUAAAUCUAAAAUUACACAAGUUUAUCAAUUAAAAAAAAAGAAUUUUUUAACUUAAAAAUCGCGCCGAAAAACAUGAAAAUUUCCCUUUUUUUGCACCAAAAUUCCACCAAAAUCCAAAAUUUCCCCCCACCAUUUUUCUGCAAUUUUUUUUAUUUCCUUGAUUAUUUUUCCAUUUUUUAACAAAAAAAAAAUUACCUUCCAUUCGAUCUCACACUAUCUCCCCAAUAUUUUUUUCUGGAUGAAGGAGAUUUCCCGUUUCUCCCGAGCUACUAGUCAUUGAUUUUUCCCCAUUUUUUUUGCCCACAAAAAUCCCCCAUUUUCACUGCAUAAUACUAUUUAUAUAGCCUAAUUCUUCCCAGAAAAAAAUUCACAAAUCAAAUUCAGUUUUUUUUUAAAUUUUUUAAAUUUUAUCCCCAAUUUUUAUCGAAAAUUCGCUUAUCACCUCUUCUGUCCGAAAUUUGCCUUUUUUUUUAAUUUUAAUUAUUUUUCUUUUUAAGUUCAGAAAAAAAAACCGAAAAAAAAUGUAUAAAAAUCAAUAAUAAAUUUGAUAAAAUUAAAAAUUUUUUUAAUUUUUUAAAAAAUUGUUAUUCUGUUGUAAUCUCUGAAUUUUCCUAUUUUUAUUACCAAUUUUUAACUGAGUUUUUCAGAUUUUUGCCAAUUUUAAGGUUACAAAAAAUAUGGAUAUCGAAGAUAUCGUUGGACGAGGACCAGUUGGGAGCAGAGAUGCAAAUGAGAUUAAAAUUCGGUAAAAAUUUGAGAUUUUGUAUCAAAAAAUUGCGAAAAAUUAUAGUUUUUCUGAAAAAAAACCAAGAAAUUUGGGAAAACAUAAUUUUUAAAGUUAUAAAAAUAACUUACCUAUUCGAAAAUUCUCGAAAAUGAUUUUACCUUAUUUUUCUAAAUUUUCUAAAUUUUAAGCUUAAGUUUGUAUAACUUCCCAAAAAAAUUUUUUAAAAAUUUUUUGGUGAAAGCUGUGUUCUCACCUCUUUUUGACUAUAACAUUUUUUUAAAAAUCCAAGUUUUUUCGAAAAAUUGCAGGACAUUUAAAUUUUGGCAGUUUGCCAAUUUGCCAGAAUUUUCAAUUCCAGAAAUUUGCCCAUUUGCCGGAAAUUUUCAAUUCCGACAAUUGGCCUUUUUUUCCGAAAAUUUAAAUUCCGGCAAUUGGCCGAUUUGCCCGAAAUUUUCUAUUCCGGCAAUUUGCCGAUUUGCUGGAAAUUUCAAUUCCGGCAAAUUGUCGUUUUUCCGGAAAUUUCAAUUCCGACAAUUUGCCGGAAAUUUUAAAUUCCGGCGAUUUGCCGAUUUGCCGGAAAUUUUAAAUUCCGACAAUUUGCCGUUUUUCCGAAAAUUUAAAUUCCGGCAAAUUGUCGUUUUUCCGGAAAUUUAAAUUCCGGCAAUUUGCCGAUUUGCCGGAAUAUUCAAUUCCGAUAAUUUGCCGGAAAUUUUAAAUUCCGGGAAUUUGCCGAUUUGCUGGAAAUUUUCUAUUCCGGCCAUUUGCUGAGUUGCCAUAAAUUUCAAUUCCGGCAAUUUGCCGAUUUGUCCGAAAUUUUCUAUUCCGGCAAAUUGUCGUUUUUCCGGAAAUUUCAAUUCCGAUAAUUUGCCAAUUUGCCGGAAAUUUUAAAUUCCGGCAAUUUGCCGAUUUGCCCGAAAUUUUCAAUUCCGGCAAAUUGCCGAUUUGCCCGAAAUUUUCAAUUCCGGCAAUUUGCUGACUUGCCAUAAAUUUCAAUUCCGGCAAUUUGCCGAUUUGCCCGAAAUUUUCUAUUCCGGCAAAUUGCAGUUUUUCCGGAAAUUUUAAUUCCGGUAAUUUGAUGAUUUGCCGGAAAUUUCAAUUCCGGCAGUUUGCCGAUAUGCCGGAAAUUUUCAAUUCCGGCAGUUUGUCGAUUUGCCGAUUUGCCGGAAAUUUUAAAUUCCGGUAUUUUGCCGAUUUGCCGGAAUAUUAAAUUCUGGCAAUUUGCCGUUUUUCCGGAAAUUUUAAACUCCGGUAUUUUGCCGAUUUGCCGGAAAAUAUAUAAUUCAUUUGCAGAACCCGUAAACAAGUGCCAAAAGAGCAACAACCAGACGAUGCAAACGUUGAUUCAAUGGUUCCGGGUGUCGGACAAAAAGUAUGGGUCCGUACGUGGGGAUGUUCUCAUAAUACUUCAGAUUCUGAAUAUAUGAGUGGUCUACUUCAACAAGCCGGAUAUGAUGUUGUUAAAGGUUUCUCUAUUAUAUUUGGAAUUUACUUAAAUGUAACAUUUAAAAAACUGUUCUUAAAAAACCGAAAAAAAAUUUUCAACUAGAAAAAUAUUUUUCUGAAAAAAAGUUCUUUAUUUUGCCCAAAAAUCAAUAACUUUUCAUAAAAAGUAUUUUCGAAAAAAGAAAUGUUUUUAAAGAACGAAAAGAAUUUCCCAAUAAAAAAAAAAUUUAAAAAAAAAACAUUUUCAUUCUGAAUUUUUUCCUUUUUUUUUUCCGAAAAACUGAAAAACAAAAAAAAAAUUAAAAAUACUGAAUAAAAAUUAAUUUCUUGGAAUUUUUUCGAGUUUUAACGAAAAAAAAAGCUGAAAAACGCAAAAAUUUCGAAAUUUCAACCGAAACCGAAAUCUGGGAAAUAUUUUAAAAUGACUCCCUGAUUCCGAAUAUCGAUGUGAAAAAAUUCAAAAAAAUUUCCCUGAUUUUAUAUUUCAGCUUGAAAUCACCGAAUUUCAUUUGUGCCACCCCGUCUAUUUUUUCAAAUGCGCGCCCAAAAAAAAUUUGCGUUGGAGCGCGCUUGCAUCGUUUGAUGUUCUUCAUUUAAAUAUUUUAUUUAUUUUUCGCCGAAUUCAGCUUUUUUUUACCAGUUUCUUUCAUUUUUGUCGAAAAAAAAUUUUUUAGAAAAAUAUUCGACAAAAAUGAAUGAAAAAAAAAAGUUGAAUUCGGCGAAAAAUAAAUAAAAUAUUUAAAUGAAGAAAAUGAAACGAUGCAAGCGCGCUCCAAUGCGAAUUUUUUUGGGCGCGCAUUUGAAAAAAGUGAUGCGGGGGCACAAAUGAAAUUCGGCGAUUUCAAGCUGAAAUAUAAAAUCAGGGAAAUUUUUUUGAAUUUUUUCACAUAGAUAUUCGAAAUCAGGGAGUCAUUUUCGGUUGAAAUUUCGAAAUUUUUGCGUUUUUCAGCUUUUUUUUUCGUUAAAACUCGAAAAAAUUCCAAAAAAUUAAUUUUUAUUCAGUUUAAAAAUUUUUUGCGGGAUAAUGCAUCAGCUAUUUUUAAUUUUUUUUUGUUUUUCAGUUUUUCGGAAAAAAAAAGAAAAAAAUUCAAAAUGAAAAUGUUUUUUUUUUGAAAUUUUUUUUUUAUAUGGCUGCAAUACUAUUUUUCGAUGGCCUUCCCGCUUGCAAUACUAAUAGGGAGGCCAUAUUAAUAGAAGAAAUACAGUAACUGAAAAACAAAAAAAAUUAAUUUUUUAACUGAAUAAAAAUUUAUUUUUAGGAUUUUUUUUUUGAGUUUUAACGAAAAAAAAAGGUGAAAAACGCAAAAAUGCCGAAAUUUCAAAAAUUGAAGUACCGAAAUUUGGGAAAUAUUAUUAAUUUACUCCAAAUUUUCCCCUGAUUCCGAAUAUCUAAGUGAAAAAAAAAUUAAAAUUCAAAAAAAAUCCCCUGAUUUUAUAUUUAAGCUUAAAAUCGCUUGUACACCCAUGAGAUUUCGAAUUUUCGCGCCAAAGAUGCCAUGUGUGUGUCGAUUUACGAAAUUUUAAAUCUUUAUCGGAUGCUGAUUUCCGAUAAAGAUUUAAAAUUUCGUAAAUCGACACACACAUGGCAUCUUUGGCGCGAAAAUUCGAAAUCUCAUGGGUGUACAAGCGAUUUUAAGCUUAAAUAUAAAAUCAGGGGAUUUUUUUUGAAUUUUAAUUUUUUUUUCACUUAGAUAUUCGGAAUCGGGAAAAUUUGGAGUAAAUUAAUAAUAUUUCCCAAAUUUCGGUACUUCAAUUUUUGAAAUUUCGGCAUUUUUGCGUUUUUCACCUUUUUUUUUCGUUAAAACUCAAAAAAAAAAUCCUAAAAAUAAAUUUUUAUUCAGUUAAAAAAUUAAUUUUUUUUGUUUUUCAGUUACUGUAUUUCUUCUAUUAAUAUGGCCUCCCUAUUAGUAUUGCAAGCGGGAAGGCCAUCGAAAAAUAGUAUUGCAGCCAUAUUAAUAGAAGAAAUACGGUAUAUUGGGCAAAAUUUUAAGAAACGGUUUUAUUUUUGAGAAACAUCGAUUUUUUAGUUGGGAAAUUUUUUUAAUUGAGUCCAAAUGCUCCCCUGAUUUCGAAUAUCUAUGCGAAAAAAUUCAAAAAAUUUUCCCAGAUUUUAUAUUUCAGCUUGAAAUCACCGAAUUUCAUUUGUGCACCCCCCCCCCCCCCUAAUUCUCAUUGGAGCGCGCUUGCAUCGUGUCCAGGGCUGUUGCAAAAAAAAUUUUCGACCAAAAAACAAAAAAAAUUCAAUGUUUGAUAUGAAACGGGACAAAACCGAAAAUUUUCAUGAAAUAUUCUGUUGAUUCUUCAUAAAAUAUUAAAAAUUGAACAAACGGAAGGUUUUUUGUUCUUAUUUGUUUAAUUUUGGCUGAAUCAAUGUUGUAAUUUAUUUUUUGUUUUUUUGGUCUCAAAAAACCAAAAAAACAGCCCUAAUCGUGUCGAUUUGCGGGAGCUCUCCAUUUAUUCAAUUUCUUUCGUGCUGCUUUUUUUUUAGUUUUCAGCGUGUUUCUUUCAUUUAUGUCGGUUUUUUUUAACAACAAAUAUUUUUUUAAUAUGAUUUAAUUUAUUAUGAUUUUUAGUCGUUUAGACAAAUAAUAUGCACAACAGGCAAAAAAUAAUAGAAAAAUAAAAAAAAAACCGACAAAAACCGACGUAAAUGAAAGAAACACGCUGUAAACUAAAAAAAAAAAGCAAAACGAACGAAAUUGAGAAAAAGAAAAACAUUUUCUUAUCGAAUUUUGAGAGCAGCAGUUUUUCAGUUUUCCAUCGCUUUUUCGUAUUUUUUUUUCUAAUUUCUAUGCUUUAUUAUAUGUAAAUCGACACAAAAGCUACGGUAGCAUUUAGCAAAUUCUUACUGUAGUUUUCGCUAAGAGAUAUCGCGCGUCAAAUAAAAUGCUCCACGACGUACGCAUUCUCAUGAUUUAUUGUUCCCGUAAUAUAAAAUCAGGGAAAUUUUGCUAACCAUCUGUUUUUGACCAAAACACCAAAAAAUCAGUAAUUACAACAAAAAAAAAUUUAAGUUAAGCCAGAAAAAAUAUGGAAAAUUGAUAUUCUUAGAAAAAUAACUUUAAAAAAAAACCAUAUUUUUUUAGUUUUUUAGUUACGGGAAAACUCAGAUUCUUUGAAGAAAAAUUCGUAAAAAAUAAAAAAAAAAUUAAUUUCCCACAAUAUUGAAAAUUGAUUUUUUGAGCUUCAAUUAAAAAUUUAGAAGUUUAUAAAGUUAGUGAAAAAAUUGAAAAUUCCUGUUUUUUACAACUCUGCUUUUUUCCUUAAAAUUUAAACUUUUUAGGACAAAAACCUUAAAAUAUGGAGGUUCAUAUUACAGCACCACAAAACUCAGAAUGCGUAUUGCACAACAUAUUUGACGCGCAAAAUUAUUAAUAUCUCGUAGCGAAAACUACAGUAUUUUUUUGAAUGACUACUGUGUAGAUUUACGGAAUUUCGAUUUUUUUUCCAAUUUUUGUAAUAUUUUUCGUCAUUUUUGUGUUUUUAAAUAAUAAUUUAUUGAUUAAUAAAAGAUAUUCGUAAAUCGACUGUAUAUAUUUUAUUAAUCAAUAAAUUAUUAUUUAAAAACACAAAAAUGGCGAAAAAAAAUUACGAAAAUUGAGAAAAAAAAUCGAAAUUCCGUAAAUCGACACAGUAGACAUUUAUUUGACUCUAAAUGUCUACUGUGUAGAUUUACGAAAACUACAAUAACCCUCUAAAUUUUAGAGGAUUACUGUAGUUUUCGCUACGAGAUAUUUUGCGCGCGUCAAAUAUGUUGUGUAAUACGCAUUCUCAAAAUUUUUUGGUCCCGUAAUACGGGAUUUUUGUUGAAAAAACUUCCUCAAACUUCCACUUUAGCUGAAAAUUAAAUUUUUCGAUAGGAAAAUUUAUGAUUUUUUAAUUUUUUAAACAGCUAAAAAUUAGAGAAAAAAAAUUAUUUAGAAAAUCAGAAAUUUUUGAAUUAAAUUAAUUUUUUUUACAGACGAGGCUGGGAACUUCUAGCAAUAGUGCUUGCAUUCAUUUUCCCAACAGAAGCGAUCAACGAGAAGCUUAACGAGUUCCUAAACAAGCAUUUGGAUCCAAUAUUCGAUCUUCCAGAAGUCUCAACUUCAUAUUUCUCCCAACAAUGUAUAAAACGGCUGAGCAAAGUGAUUGCUCGACUCAAACCGAGUCUUUCCACAAUUCAAGAGACUAAAAUUCAUAUAUUCCGGCCGCCGCUCUUCUCGGCUUCACUCGAAGAGCUCAUGCAAAUGCAAUCUGAAAAAUUCCCCGAGUUGAAGCUUCCGUGGCUUUUGACUACUCUUAUUGAGCUCCUUUAUCAAUCUGGGGGCCGGAGGACUGAAGGGCUGUUUCGGUACGGGUUUUUGAGUGGAAAAAUUGAGACAAAUUCUAUUUUUCAGCCGAAGUUAUCAGGAAAAAAAGCAAAAAAAUUGAAAAAAAAAGAGAAAAAUGUUUUUUUUUUCAAGUAAAAAAUAUAAAAUUUAGAAAAUUACUUUUAAAAAAAAUUCCAAAAAAGUUGAAAUCAAAUAUUUAUUGACACAUUUUUUUGAAGCAUUCUCUGGAAAAUUCUGAAAAAGCAAUUUUUAAAAUUUAAUAUAUAAUUUUCAAUGUUUUUGUUAAUUUUUUCUAAUAAAAAAAACAAGAAAAACCAAUAAAUUCUUAAAUUUUUUGGAAAAUUGAGAUUUUUUUGACAAAGUGUACGGUUUUCCACAAAAAAUUCGAUUUAAAAAAAAAAUUUUGCUACUGAAAGUCAACAUUAAUUUUUUGUUAAAUGAAAAAUGUUCAGCUUUCAACAAAAAUUAGCAUAAAUAAGAAAAAAUAGGCUUAGUGAUAAGCUUACGCUUAGGCUGAAGCUUAGGCUUGUGCAUAGACUCAGGCUUAAGCUAAGUCUUAGUCUUAGACUUAGGUUUAAGCUAAGUCUUAGUCUUAGACUUAGGUUUAGGCAUUGGCUUGGACUUAGGCUUCGGCUUAGGCCUAUGCAGAGCUGAGGGGGGUUGGAGAAAAAAAAAAGAGAACUUCCCAAUAAUUCCUAAAAAUCCAAAAAAAAUUCGAAUUUCGGAUUUUUUAAUUAAAAAAUAUUUAACCAAAUUCCCAAGGAAAAACCAGUAAAUUUUGAAAUUUUGGAAAAUUAAAUUUUUUUAAAAGUACCGUUUUCCGCAAUAAUUACGAUCAAGGCUGUCAGUUUUUUCGAUUUUUUCAGAAAAUCGAAAAACGAACAUUUUUCGAUUUUUCAAAAAUUAGCUCAAUAUUUUGGCCAUUAUUCUUCUUUUUAGAAGAAAUUUAAAUGUUUUUCUUAUCAAUAAAAACAAAAUUAUGAUAGAUAAAAAAUCAUAUUUUAUGGUUAAAGGUGGACUACGCUCAGUGGAGAAAUUGCUUUAAAACACGUCUAUGGGGCCACAAUGACCGAAUAUCAUGAUAAAAAAAAUUCAAAAAAAUUUUUUAGAUUUUAUAUGAUUUUUUGAAAAUUGGAAAAAUCUCAGUUUUCACCUAAUUAUUUUUGAAUUUCCGCCAAUUGGAUUUGUUCGGUGGAGCGCGCUUGCAUUAUUUUUUAUUAAUUAAUUUUAUUUAUUCUCGUUAUUUGACUGAUUUUCUUCAUUUUCUAUGUUUUUUCCUCGGAAAAUGGAAGAAAUAAACAAGACAAAUAUGCAAAACGUUUGUUAAAAAGUAAUUGAAAAUGAGUAAAAAACUGUGAAAUAUACUAAUUUCAGGCUUGUUGUCGUCGGAACUCAGAAUAUCUGAUUUUUACUCAUUUUCAAUUACUUUUUAACAAACGUUUUGCAUUUGUCUUGUUUAUUUCUUCCAUUUUCCGAGGAAAAACCAUAGAAAAUGAAAAAAAACUCAGUCAAAUAACGAGAAUAAAUAAAAUUAAUUAAUUAAAAUAAUGCAAGCGCGCUCCACCGAACAAAUCCAAUUGGCGGAAAUUCAAAAAUAAUUAGGUGAAAACUGAGAUUUUUCCAAUUUUCAAAAAAUCAUAUAAAAUCUAAAAAAUUUUUUUGAAUUUUUUUAAUCAUAAUAUUCGGUCAUUGUGGCCCCAUAGACGUGUUUUAAAGCAAUUUCUCCACUGAGCGUAGUCCACCUUUAAUUUUCUGAACUUUUUCUUUUUUCGAUUUUUCGAUUUUAACCGAAAAACAUUGAAAAAUGACACCCUUGAUUACGAUAUUUAAAAAUUUUGCGACCUGAAAAAAAAAAUUCGAAUUCGCCCCUAAUUCCACAAUAAGAAUUUCAGAGUUGCCGGGGAUCCAGAACAACUUGCAACAGCUCGAGGACAACUGGACGGUUGGCUCGCCCCAAAAAUGCACGACGCAAAUGUGCCGGCGGGACUUUUAAAACUAUGGCUCCGCCAGCUUCCCGUUCCAUUAAUUCUUCCGACUCUCUAUCAAAGAGCGCUGGUCGCUGCAGAAAAUCCUGCUGAAGCAAUACGAUUAGUCGAUUUAUUACCAGAAAUUAAUCGAUUAGUACUUGUGCGAGUAAUUGCAUUACUACAGGAUUUAAGUCGAGAAGAAGUUGUUGCAAAAACUAAAAUGGAUACUUCUAAUUUGGCAAUGGUUAUUGCUCCGAAUAUUUUGAGG
rnacentral:sRNA from 1 species